ACUGAAUACAUAGGUUAACGAGGCGAACCGGGGGAACUGAAACAUCUAAGUACCCCGAGGAAAAGAAAUCAACCGAGAUUCCCCCAGUAGCGGCGAGCGAACGGGGAGCAGCCCAGAGUCUGAAUCAGCUUGUGUGUUAGUGGAACGGUCUGGAAAGUCCGACGGUACAGGGUGAUAGUCCCGUACACCAAAAUGCACAGGCUGUGAACUCGAAGAGUAGGGCGGGACACGUGGUAUCCUGUCUGAAUAUGGGGGGACCAUCCUCCAAGGCUAAAUACUCCUGACUGACCGAUAGUGAACCAGUACCGUGAGGGAAAGGCGAAAAGAACCCCGGCGAGGGGAGUGAAAAAGAACCUGAAACCGUGUACGUACAAGCAGUGGGAGCACCUUCGGGUGUGACUGCGUACCUUUUGUAUAAUGGGUCAGCGACUUAUAUUCUGUAGCAAGGUUAACCGUAUAGGGGAGCCGCAGGGAAACCGAGUCUUAACUGGGCGUUAAGUUGCAGGGUAUAGACCCGAAACCCGGUGAUCUAGCCAUGGGCAGGUUGAAGGUUGGGUAACACUAACUGGAGGACCGAACCGACUAAUGUUGAAAAAUUAGCGGAUGACUUGUGGCUGGGGGUGAAAGGCCAAU
rnacentral:rRNA from 1 species